rnacentral:rRNA from 1 species
GACGAACGCUGGCGGCGUGCUUAACACAUGCAAGUCGAACGAUGAAGCUAGAGCUUGCUCCGGUGAAUUAGUGGCGAACGGGUGAGUAACACGUGAGUAACCUGCCCCGAACUCUGGGAUAACUGCUGGAAACGGUAGCUAAUACUGGAUACGACCUACGAAGGCAUCUUCUGUAGGUGGAAAGAAUUUCGGUUCGGGAUGGACUCGCGGCCUAUCAGCUUGUUGGUGAGGUAAUGGCUCACCAAGGCGACGACGGGUAGCCGGCCUGAGAGGGUGACCGGCCACACUGGGACUGAGACACGGCCCAGACUCCUACGGGAGGCAGCAGUGGGGAAUAUUGCACAAUGGGCGCAAGCCUGACGCAGCAACGCCGCGUGAGGGAUGACGGCCUUCGGGUUGUAAACCUCUUUUAGUAGGGAAGAAGCGAAAGUGACGGUACCUGCAGAAAAAGCACCGGCUAACUACGUGCCAGCAGCCGCGGUAA